GUAGGUGGCAAGCGUUGUCCGGAAUUACUGGGGCGUAAAGCGCGCGCAGGCGGUUCUUUAAGUCUGAUGUGAAAGCCCACGGGCUCAACCGUGGAGGGUCAUUGGAAACUGGAGAACUUGAGUACAGAAGAGGAAAGCGGAAUUCCACGUGUAGCGGUGAAAUGCGUAGAGAUGUGGAGGAACACCAGUGGCGAAGGCGGCUUUCUGGUCUGUAACUGACGCUGAGGCGCGAAAGCGUGGGGAGCAAACAGGAUUAGAUACCCUGGUAGUCCACGCCGUAAACGAUGAGUGCUAAGUGUUAGGGGGUUUCCGCCCCUUAGUGCUGCAGCUAACGCAUUAAGCACUCCGCCUGGGGAGUACGGCCGCAAAGGCUG
rnacentral:rRNA from 1 species